GUGAAGCGGCAACAGCUCAAAUUUGAAAUCUGGCCCCUAGGGCCCGAGUUGUAAUUUGCAGAGGAUGCUUUUGGCGAGGUGCCUUCCGAGUUCCCUGGAACGGGACGCCAUAGAGGGUGAGAGCCCCGUCUGGUUGGAUACCGAGCCUCUGUAAAGCUCCUUCGACGAGUCGAGUAGUUUGGGAAUGCUGCUCUAAAUGGGAGGUAUAUGUCUUCUAAAGCUAAAUAUUGGCCAGAGACCGAUAGCGCACAAGUAGAGUGAUCGAAAGAUGAAAAGCACUUUGAAAAGAGGGUUAAAAAGUACGUGAAAUUGUUGAAAGGGAAGCGCUCAUGACCAGACUUGGGCCCGGUGAAUCACCCAGCGUUCUCGCUGGGGCACUUUGCCGGGCUCAGGCCAGCAUCAGUUUGCCUUGGGGGAUAAAGACUUCGGGAAUGUGGCUCCUCCGGGAGUGUUAUAGCCCGUUGUGUAAUACCCUGGGGCGGACUGAGGUUCGCGCAUCUUGCAAGGAUGCUGGCGUAAUGGUCAUCAGCGACCCGUCUUGAAACACGGACCAAGGAGUCGUCUUCGUAUGCGAGUGUUCGGGUGCAAAGCCCCUACGCGUAAUGAAAGUGAACGCAGGUGAGAGCUUCGGCGCAUCAUCGACCGAUCCUGAUGUUCUCGGAUGGAUUUGAGUAAGAGCAUACGGGGCCGGACCCGAAAGAAGGUGAACUAUGCUUGAAUAGGGUGAAGCCAGGGGAAACCCUGGUGGAGGCUCGCAGCGGUUUCUGACGUGCAAAUCGAUUCGUCAAAUUUGAGCAUGGGGGCGAAAGACUAAUCGAACCUUCUAGUAGCUGGUUUCCGC
rnacentral:rRNA from 1 species